GAUCAAGCAGUACUGCGGAAUGGUCAGUUGUCCGCAUGUGUCCUGUGAGUGAGAGGGAACUAGUGGUGUGUGUGUGUGUGUGUGUGUCCCUUGGAGCCAGGAGACUGAGACACCCAUCCUCAUCAUCUCGAGUGCCUGCUAACGUCACUUGAGGUAAAUCAUGAGUAAUAGGGUGGAGGCUGACGCAAGAAGGCUCAAAGUUUAGUUGGAGACAUUUAGCACCACCACGCUGCCCGCCGCCUGCCACUUGCUGCUUGUUUCCUUCACCGCCCGGUUUGCCUGCUGCACUCCAUCUGCCGACUGCUGACCUGCCAAUUACGAACAACAACAACAACAACAACAACUACUACUGCUACUACUACUACUACAACUACUACUACUACAACCACGGGUCCAGCGACCAAUACUGCAAGGACGUGAGAAGUGUAAUGUGAUGGCAGGCGGACACGUGACAAAGAAGACCAAUGUAGCGCUCCAGUGUGUCAGUGGUGAGCGGUGGCGUGAAGUUUAAAUAGUGUGUUUGCAUAUGAAAAAAAAGGAAGACGUCGCCGCGGAAGAAGCAACACAAUAUUCUCGACAAUUCAUGCAGCGAAAAAAUCCAGUUAAAAGUGAUAUUUCCAACUUGGGUGUCUUUCUGUCAGAACUUUGUAAAGAUUAGAAUCGGAGAGUGAAGUGAAUAAGGCAUCGCUCCGGGAAAGAACGACAUGCCAGAAAAUACAUUGAGAAAUACACCGCAGCAAGCUAGUGGCCGGCCGGGAGGAGGAAAAGGAGGAAAAGAAGGAAGAGUGCGUCAUCCCCCCCCCUCCUCCAUUCCCCCCAUGCCUACCCCUCCCGGCAUCACUCCAGGGAGCGAGGAACACCUGGCCGCCGCAACACAAGCAAAGUACCGGAUUUACACUGUGGUACAAAGUUGUGUGUUUCUUCUCGUGGAUUUCCUCUGCUUCUGUUUUUUGUGGCGGCGUCCCUGCAGUGGUGGCGAGGCUGCUGCUGCUGCUCUUGUUGCUGUUCCUGCUGCUGACUUUGUGUUGCUGAUGGUCUUGGGUUGGUCAGCAGUCAGCAUCACCUGUUACUGUUGUUAGUUAAAAGUCAGUUCAAUAUUCCUGCUUUUUUACUGUUAAUGUUGCUUUGAGUUAAUGUUGCCUUUGUGUCAGCCAGCAGUCCAGUCAGUGCAUUUGUAUCUUCCUCUGUUGUUACCGUUGUUUUUUGUGCUGUUGAUACUGUUAUGUAGCAGUUAGCACAUCAUUCCUGCCUUGUAGUAUUACUCUUAUUUGUGUUGGCGUUGAUGGUGUUAGUGUUUGUGUGUCAGUCACUAGUCAGUACAUUUCUGUCAUUACAUUUCUAUCUUCCUCUGCUGUUACCGCUGUUUUUUUUUUUUUUUUUUUUUUGGUGCUGUUGAUACUGAUGUCAUUUAGCAAUCAGCACAAAAUCCCUGCCUUGUAGUGUUGUUACUGUUAUGGUGUUGUUGGUGCUGGUUGUGCUGCUGCUUUGAGUGAGUCAGCAGACAGCACAGCAUUCCUUCCUUGCGCUGCCGACUGGUAUCCUGCUUUGUUCCUCUUUUUUCACCGCGGUUGUUCUCCCUCGAGCCUCUUUGUGCGUGUGCGUGUGAUGGAAUUCCUGUUGGUGCGGGGGCGUGUCUCCGCUCGGCCGCGCCUCUCCCAGGCUCGCGCCUUUCCCCAGUGUACGUACAUUUCGUCGGCGAAGGUUGUAAUGGUAAAGUUCAAUUCCUGGCCUUUGGGGAGGGUGUGGGGUGUGUGCGGGGGCGUGUGGUGGUCGUGUUCCCUCCGCCACGCCCUUCUUUCAAACACUACAUCACAGGUUAUGUUUUGUAAUAGUAACGGGAAAGUAAAGGUUAUAGAUUUUG